AGCGAACGCUGGCGGCAGGCCUAACACAUGCAAGUCGAACGGACCCUUCGGGGUUAGUGGCGGACGGGUGAGUAACACGUGGGAACGUGCCUUUAGGUUCGGAAUAGCUCCUGGAAACGGGUGGUAAUGCCGAAUGUGCCCUUCGGGGGAAAGAUUUAUCGCCUUUAGAGCGGCCCGCGUCUGAUUAGCUAGUUGGUGAGGUAAUGGCUCACCAAGGCGACGAUCAGUAGCUGGUCUGAGAGGAUGACCAGCCACAUUGGGACUGAGACACGGCCCAAACUCCUACGGGAGGCAGCAGUGGGGAAUCUUGCGCAAUGGGCGAAAGCCUGACGUAGCCAUGCCGCGUGAAUGAUGAAGGUCUUAGGAUUGUAAAAUUCUUUCACCGGGGACGAUAAUGACGGUACCCGGAGAAGAAGCCCCGGCUAACUUCAUGCCAGCCGCCGCCGUAAUAC
rnacentral:rRNA from 1 species